rnacentral:rRNA from 1 species
UACGUAGGGGGCUAGCGUUGUCCGGAAUCAUUGGGCGUAAAGAGCGCGUAGGCGGCCAGAUAAGUCCGGUGUGAAAGUCACAGGCUCAACCUGUGAAUGCCGCUGGAAACUGUCUGGCUAGAGUCCGGAAGGGGCGAGUGGAAUUCCUGGUGUAGCGGUGAAAUGCGCAGAUAUCAGGAGGAACACCGGUGGCGAAGGCGGGUCUCUGGAACGCAACUGACGCUGAGACGCGAAAGCGUGGGGAGCAAACAGG